rnacentral:ncRNA from 2 species
UCGUGUCUCCCGGGGAGCCCCAGAGGGGCUGAGAGUAUCCCGAGUGAGGGAUAGACCCUUGGAACCUGAUCCGGGUCAUGCCGGCGUAGGGAACGAGCGGACCUUUUCAG